rnacentral:rRNA from 1 species
UGGACGAAAAUCUGACCGAGCGACGCCGCGUGUGGGAUGAAGGUCUUCGGAUUGUAAACCACUGUCGAGGGGGAUUAAGGGAAACUUGAAAGAACCCUGGAGGAAGGGGAGGCUAAGCUCGUGCCAGCAGCCGCGGUAAGACGAGCUCCCCAAACGUUAUUCGGUAUUACUGGGCUUAAAGAGUUCGUAGGCGGCGAAGUAGGUGAGGUGUGAAAGCCCUCGGCUCAACCGAGGAACUGCGCUUCAAACCACUUUGCUAGAGGGAGAUAGGGGUAAGCGGAACAGAUGGUGGAGCGGUGAAAUGUAUUGAUAUCAUCUGGAACACCGGUGGCGAAAGCGGCUUACUGGGUCUUUUCUGACGCUGAGGAACGAAAGCUAGGGUAGCGAACGGGAUUAGAUACCCCGGUAGUCCUAGCCGUAAACGAUGAGCACUAGUCUGAGGGACUUUCACGGUUUCUCGGACGUAGCGAAAGUGUUAAGUGCUCCGCCUGGGGA